rnacentral:misc_RNA from 1 species
GUAGCACAAGUACGGGACAGCUCGCCCGCCAGGGCGAGGUGAUCCUUCCGCGUAACACUUGCCGAAGCCUUAGCAGCCCGAAAGGGUGCAAUCCCGACGACUAUAAUUCAUGAGGAUUGCUGAAAUGCUAGUCUGCGUUGGCAGGCGACACUAUCAAAUUGCGGGAACACCCUAAAGACCUCAACACCAAGCGUCGUGGGAAACCACGGCGUGGCCGAGCUAAUAGCCCUGGGUAUGGUAACAGCUUGAG